CGAAUUAUUUGCUCCUCUCAUUGAUUUAGUUUCUCAUGAGCAAAUUCAUCCCUGGUGUUACUCUGCUGACAGCAGCAAGGUUGCAGCAGAGAAGGAUUUGGCCCCUGGAAGGCUCCAGGCCAGAUGUUGCUCUUUCAAUGUAAUAACUGGAAGAACAAGCCUCGUUACCAGUUGGAAGCUUGUUCCAUAAAGUAGAUGGCUCUGUUCUCUGCUCUAAUGUGAGUACCUAACAUACUGUCAGUGCAGAUGACCUCAUAGCCCCCUCCUGCCUCCCCCUCUCUGCUUUUCCAAUACAUCUACUCAGCCUGUGUUGGCUUGUAUCUCCCGGUGUCAUUUGUACCAAAAUAGGACUGUAAUAUGAAGGUGGAUGACCUCAUGGGUGUUAGGAGCGAGCUUUGUGAACAUGCUUGCCUUGGUAGCACAAACCAGCAUGUGCUGAAUCCAUUUCCUCUUCCAAGCAGUAGGCUCGCAUGUAUCCAUUUUAAAGGUGUGUACUUCAUUUUCAAGCCUAAAAGCUGACGUGCCAGCAGGAAGAAAACGCUCCGAUUCUUUUUCUUUGCUUCAUUUUUCCUGCUUCUCAAUGCGAUCCGGUAUUUCAGCCCCAACCUGCCACGCGGCUGCCUCGAGGGGGCUGUGAACGCGGAGAGCAUUACAGUGCACGCGUCGCCGCUACGAGCACGCAGCGCUGCCGCUCCACGCUGUGCCUUGGCCGUGCUCGUUUCCAACUGCUGCUCGCUGAAACGAUUAUCGAUGAUAAAUUUUAAACGUGUUGGGAUCCAGUUAACAGGGAGUUUGCCUGGGCCCUGCUGAGGGAGUUUGUUGUUUCGGUUGAGUCUCCUCAUCAGUUUCUGAGGUCUGAUUGUCGACACCCAGCAGUAGAGGGAUGGAGGUAGCUCUUGGCUAGUGAGUAAUGUCUUAAUUUAGGAGUGGAAAUUGCUGCUUGCAGCAUUACCCUGCGUUAUAGGGUCUUCUCAGGGACCUGGGUAAUGCAGUUUGUAUUAAAUGACAGUCCAUCCUUCACUAUAUCAUCCCAAUGAUGCUCUACAGCUGUGCAGAAGUGGUAGCCCUGUCCCGAGAACCCACCGCAGCAGCUUUUCCACCCAGAAAUGCAUAUUGCAACAAGUGGGAGAGAAACUCCUCUCACACUUCCCAGGGAGCUCCUGUCCCAUGGUGGAGAUGAGAUGUCUCUCUCACAGUCUGACUAGCCUUCCAGAACUUCAAGCCAAGUCUAUCUCUCUUGCUCAUGAGUUUCAUCAAGGAACCAUCAGAAUCAAAUAAAAAGCUCAGAAAGCUCUCCUGGUGGCCAAAUAUGGACUCCCAAGUUGAAGGCUAUAAAAUUCUGUAUUACUUGCCAGAUGUACUGACAAAAUGCAUAAUCAUUUUGAAUCAAAUUUCCUUCUGGACUCCGUGUAGGAGAGGGAUCGCUUCUGGGGAGAAACAUUACUUCAAGGAGAUCCAAAUGAAACACAACAGAUUCCUGAGAAGUUUGGAGCUGAAAUCCUGUGGACAAGUUUGAAUCAGAUAUCUCUGUGCAAGAUUAGGCUCAAUUUUGAAAAUCUACACUCAAAUUCCAGACCAAAAGGAGGAAAGCUCUGGGAUUCAUUUGCCAUAGAUUUCUUGCAGAACUACCGAGCAACUUGACAUGCAGCAAACCAGAUGUCCCCUGCAGAACUUCUGCGUGUGCAGAGUAUGCAAGCUAAAUUAAAUUGAGAUGUUCUCUGAAAGUCUAACCGUGAUGGAAAAGGUACCACAAGAUGCAACUCAACAGGGUGUUCUACUUACAGUCUGAUAAAAGCAAACAACGUACAGCUGCACACUUUAUUCCUAACCAUCUAGUGUGGCUUGUUGCUGAGUGUUCAUAAAUGCUAAUCUGUGAAAAAGUUUAAAGAUUAACUUCAGAUUCAUGGAUUUAUGGAAAGCAGUGAUAGAAAUGAUUACUGGGUCUCAGAGAGGACUGACCAGGAAAGAAGUUUCCCACUGGUUCUGUGAGGAAGUGCUUGUAUUUUUGAGAACAGGGAAGUAAACAGAAACAAAAAAGAAUCUAAUUUUGAUAUCAAGUCAAAUUAGAAUUUGACCAAAAACACUAGCUGAAAUCUGCAGGUGGAUAAAAAAAAUCUUUUCAGAUGAAUUAUGAUGCUUAAUUUAAGUGGUUUUUUGUUUUGUUUUGUUUUGUUUUUUAAUCUCAAAUUCUAAAGAAAGAUGGAGUAAUUAAAAUUAAAAAGAAAAUGGAACAGCUCAGUGAUUUGGAAACAUUAAAUAAUAGGCUUCAUUUUGAAGUUCCAAAUGAAGUUCCAAAUGAACUUCAAAUGAAGUUCCAGAACUUCAUUUUAAAAAUCUCUUAUGAACAGCAUCUUUAUAUUCAGCAAAUCAAUUAAGAACAAGCAAAUAGUGUUUCCUGGAGAAAAAAAAAAAAAAAAAGACUUCAGCAUUCAGUAUGUAACCUGUUUUUCUACUAACCCUAUAUGAAAACUCUAUCAGCUGUUUUUCAGCCUCCAAUGAGUGAUGGUCUUGUAGGUGUUUGAGAGCCUGUCCUGCCUUGCGGUGCUCAGAUCCAUUCUUGCAGAUAGUUUGCAACACUACAAGCUUAAUUCAAACACAUCCAAGAAUUUUGGCACCCGGUUCCAGAUCCGCAUCGUUGCUUUGAUCUUGUCAGGAAAGUCAUCUGCUGGCUGUCUUACAGUUUGGGCUCUGCCACCCACUUCCAGACCUGUCUUCUGGUGAAAAGCCACAGAAUGGGAUUCUUUAACCCCUUUUUGAGACUGGUUCUCCACCAUAAACUUCUGGCUUUAUCAAACUUUUUUUUUUUAAAGCCUUAUCAAAUGCAUCCUUUAUCUCUCUGCCAUCUCUCUGGCUGGCCCCAAAUGGUCUCUUCAACCUGUGCCUGGUGGCACUGAUGGCAGAGCAGGGCAGCUUGCAUGGCAGACUGACAGCUGCUGCCAACCUAAACAGAUGCUCCAAGCUUGGUGGUUGAAAUUUUAAUAGCAAUUUUUCUCUCUCCCCUUCCCCCUUCAAUAAAAAGGAUUCUGGAAACACAAAUCAAUUAUUCCCAGAUUUCAAAUGCUGGCACCACUCCGUGUGCAGCUGCGAGCACAGAAUUUAACCUUUUCGGUAUUUCAGUAUAAAUGGCUGCAGUGAGGGAAUGCGUGUUUUUGUGUCCUGACUUUAAGCUGCAUGCCCAGCCCCAAGCUCUGGAGCUGCCUUGCUCUCAUCUCUGAGAGCUUCCCUCUCUGAGUCCGUGCUUGGCUCAACUCUUUGCAAUGGGCUGAACCAAAACUCUAGGUCACAAUACACUGAAGACUUCAGAAAAGUUCAGAAGUGUACCCAAACCUUUCAACUGUUGUUUUUUUUUCCUCUCCUUUCAAGCUAGUGGAAUUAAGUGAGAAACAGUUUUGUAGCCCCCUCAGAGUGAAAAGUAUUUCCUAAAAGUGAAAAAAAAAAAUUGCUCCACUUGAGGAUCAAAGUUACACAUUUUCCUGACAGCCACAGAGAAAAAUGGGCAGUCCAAAAAGCUGAGCAAUCAGGACACCCACCAGGAUCCUGAGGGUCCUGGACCCACUGCCACCACCCAGGCAGGGAUCUAAGCCAGGUCCCACCUGAUCUGGGAUGUCCUCAAACAACCACGGGCAACCCUGGGAAAGAAGCCUUUGGUGUUGACCGAAACUGGUGGAGCUCAAACCAUUUUUCUGGCAGUUUCUCUGAGAUGGUUUUGCCUCUUGGCAAAAGCCCCCUUAGUAGAAAAAUGCCUGACCACCUCUACUAGUUGAGUUGCUUGAUUUUGAAUACCUGUUUCUCCAUCUGCUCUAGGAAAUGGCUUUUCAGGUAAUGCUUUUCUGCAACAAUUAAAGGAGAAUGAGCAUCGUGUUUCUUAUCAAAGUGAGGUGUUGGGAAUAUUUUUUCUGUUGGCUUAGGAGGGGAGAAGUCCUUUUUCCCCUUUCCUGCUCACUGGCACAGGGGACACUCAAAUGUGGUUUCCCAGGCUGAGAUACUUGUGCCACAAGGAACUGCGGGUUGGUCGGUUUUUGGUUUUGCUUUUUUUUUCCUCUUUUCAGCUCAUACAUAAUCACCUUCUCCAGCAUUCAAAUCUCCAGUUUGGCAGACAAAGGCAAAAUGAGAUCUUUUUGGCAAGAGGUGAAAAUCAGCAGAGCACUACCUGAAAAUAAAGUGCUGAUUUUAAGGGAAAGCAGUUAAUCACCAGGGACAGGUCAUGGAAGCAGCAGGUAAAGACCUUGUUUUUCUGAGCUCCCUCAUCACCAUGCAGCUGGAUCUGCCAGCCAGCUUUUGGGCAAGCCAAGAUGUCUCAAUUGCUUGUUGCAGAGGCUGAUGGAGAGAAAAGAGCACACAUCCUGGAAGCAGCAUCACUUCAGCAAAGGUGACUGGAUGGGCCCAGAGCCCUGCAAUUUUGGCUGCACCACUCUGGUUCUGGAAGGCUGGAGGCUUUACAUCCCCAGUAAAUGCCUGCCUGGGCAACAGGCUCCAGCUGAUGCAGAGCCCCAGGUGUUUUCUUGCCUCCUCUUGUAGGACAGUCAGACCAGUAAAACACACGCUGUGAUAAAGCAGGAUGAAUGUGGACACAGCUUUCUGGCAGCGAGCAGCACCACGAAGUGGGGCAUCUGCAAGGCACAGAGGAAAGAAGGACCAGAGGAGGCAGAAGAAGGUCCUGGGUUGCCAGAUUGAUUGAUUAAUUGCUGGUGGAAUGGAAAGAAAAGAAGAAGGAAUAGCCUGCAAAUUUGAGAAGGCACCAGAGGAUUCAAGGAGGAAAAGGAGGAAAGGCCAAGCAGUGGACCUGAGGUGCUAGUGAAGACAGUGUGGAGGGAAGAAGGUUGAUUUCUCUCAUUUGAUGACCACAUGGAAGAAAGUUUGGACAGAACUGAAGCAAGGAUUGUUGCUUUGUUGUUUUUUUUUUUUUGGUUUUUGUUUUUUUUUUUUUCUCCAAAACAAAACAAACACAAGGAAUUAAGGUGAAACAAAACUCUUAUGUUUUAAUUUAUUCUGGUCUGUUUUGGCUAGCUUCCCAGGUCGGACCACUUUUUAAAAGAAAAUAAUACUGGUGAAUGAAUAUUAACAACAAAAUGAAACAUUUGAAAAAUUUCCAAACGAAACCUUUUCGUUUUUAAUAUGUCAAAGUGUAGUAUUUUGACACCUAGGAAAAUUUAAACAUAUAUUUUUUUGCCUUAAAGCUCAUUGUCUUGCCAAACCUCAAUUCAUCACAUGAUUUGGAACUCACCAAAAUCCUUUUUUUUUGGUGGUGGUGGCAGUAACUGUUCCAUUUGUACAGCAGGGGCAGUGGAGGGACACAAGAGGACUUAUGGCACCAGUUGUCCCAGAGAUGACAUCCAUGGUAGGACACAGAAGGCCACUUGAGGGGAAUCUCCUCCCAUGAAGAUGUCUUCUGUCCUCAUGGAGGUGUUAACCAUGCCAGGGGCUGGCCCCCAGCACCAGCAGCAAGCAUAUACCAGCCCAUUUGUUCCUCCAGGUCUGGGUCUCAAGCCCAGACCCUCCUGAAUACCCAGUUUCCCCAGAAGGAAGGGGUAGCUCGUACAUAUGUUUGCUCUUAAUCCCUCAUUUCUUCCGAACCUGUCAGAGUAAAGGGUUAAUAUGUCGGCAAAACAGUUAGGGGAAAUAGGAGAGCCAGCAAGCCCAGGUCUUCGCUGGUGUCUGUCAUAGCAGGGUCUGUCUUUCAAGGCCUAUAUAAAUAAACUUCCUAGUAAACUCAGCAAUUUUGUCAUCAUAAAGGCUGGCAGCCUUUCCUGGCAAUAAAAUAAACUCUAAUCAUUUCUUCAAAUAAAACACAAAUAGCAGCAGUGCGUUUGCAGGAGGCUCUGUGCUGGCUGGCUUUGCCUCUCCCCCCAGCCACCCGGCCAUGUGCGUGCCAUGCCAGGCCGUGAUGGAUGGAGAAACACAGGGGCACUCUGCUGCUAAUACCUAAGAGGAAACAGACCCUAUGUCUGCAACGUAAAUCAGGAAUGGGCAAGAAGCUCAAAAGAAAUAAGAAACCGCUCUGAUCCUCCUGCUGCGGCUCAACCAGAUCAAAAAUCUUCCUGCCCCCUCCACGGAUCCCGGGGAUGCUUUCCUUCCCUUUCUCAUGCACACCUAUUUCCUUACCAGCUUUCUUUUCUGACAGCCUCUACAGAAACAUCUGAUAAUCUCAGGAGAAGCCCAUCCUUGUUGUUUGCCCUCUGCUGUGUCGUCAGCUGAAAGCCAUGCUUCAUAACAAAUAUGUUCAAUGGACAACCACUUCUCCAACAAAAGGGAAAUCUGGAACCCAAAAUGCCUGUCAGAGACAGGCAUUCAGAGACAGAUAACCCUUUUCCUGUAGAAAACCAAAUGGACAGCCAGAAACCAGGCAACCAUGAGAAGAAAGGAUUGUGGAAGUGAACCAGAAAAAAUAAGAAAAAUAAGAAAGAAAAGCAUGUCAGCCCUUCCUGCCCCUAGUGUACAUAAAUGCCUUGCUCUUUUGACCUUUGUUCAGCAAGAAGUGCCACAGAGGGAACAUGGAAAUGGCAGAAAACCCCUGAAAUAUCAAUGUUUUAAUAUGUUGCCUGCUCAUUUCAAGACUGGAAAAAAAAUAAUGGUUGUAUUUGGAGAUCGGUGGACAUCAGCAGAUCACAUUCUGUUCUUCCACAGAUGCUUUCCAUCCUCAGGAGCUUGCCUGAUCCCUGUUUAAUGAUUAACUUCCCUUCUGCGUGUCCAGCAUUUAGCUGCUCAGGACACAGCCCUGAUAUGCAUUUGUGUGAUAUCUCCCUGGACUCACAGCUCAGCUGCAUGGCUGCCAGUGAGGUAGCAUUCAGUUGUGCAUCGAUUUCAAAACCAAGCACAAUAUGAUCUGAUUUUAGCCAUCCCUAAAAUAGAGCUGCUGGCUCUUGUCCUAGGGCUGCGUCAGCCUCUCCAGAGCAGUGAUGAAAGCGUGUCACUUGGGCCGGCUCUACAGCACAGUCCAUCUCCCUCUGCCUCACAUCUACGUAACAGAAGUUUUGCCAAGCGUUUUGCUUUAGGUGGAGGGACUUUGCAAUGAAAAUAACCAGCCCUAGAAACCUCAGGGCAUUUUGUAGAAGUUCGCAGAAGUUUCACUCAGCAACUCAGAUGAGAAAUGUUUCCUAAAAUUCUGAGGAUGUGGCUUUUUUUCUGACAUAUAUUUUGACGUAAAACAUUACAGAUUUUCCAUUCACAGCCACCUUUGCUUUUUGAAUGUCCUUAUUUUGUUUUGCUUUGGUUUUUGAAUGCAAUUUUCACUUGCUCAAAACUAUAAGGCAGUGUUUCUCGUUUAAGCAAAACCAAAAAUAGUUCACUCUACCUGUAAUUGCUGAUCAUUCUAUUUUCACUUGAUGAAAAAAAAAAAAAUGGGAGUAAAUCUAAUAUGAAUUUGUUGUUUUUUGAUUUCUAAAGAGUUGGAUAUUGUACCUUUGGACAGCUGGCUUCCGCCAAUACACCCUUAGCAAUUUGCAGUGCAGGAGACAUGUCGGGCUCAGGAGAACAGAAGAAAACAUCUGCUGAGUAAAGUUACUGCCUCAAGAAAGGCAACAACUUUUCUGGAAAAGUGUCUGGCAUGGGUGGUGCUUGGAGAAGUAACAGGAGGGGUUAGUUUGUCUUAAACUCACAGAAACAUGCACCUCACUUUGGAAACAGGAUUUUGAAAGCAAUGAAAAACCUUUUCAAUAACAUAGAAAGAUGUCCAAAUAUAUACACACUCUGUAAUAUUUUCCUUUGCAUUAAAAAUAAUAACUUAAAAAAAUAUUUUUAAUAACUAAAAACUGUUUUUUUUCAGAUUGGUUUUCAGCUAGAAGCCAGGUUAUAGCUGCUCAGGCUGUAGUUUUCCUUGAAGUAUUAAUGUAUCGUUGCUUAAAAUUACCCAAAAAUUCUCCCCAAAAGACUGAAUUUAAAUUAAACUUAUUCUGGACAAUCAAAACCUGCCAUUCAGAUCAUUCUUGGUUUUUGAAAGUGCUGGUAACUACAAAACUGCAGGAAAAAUCACUGGUUUAAAAAACAAACAGCUUUCCAUCAUCUUUAGGUGUCCUGAAUGGAUUUUCUUGAAUUCAUCUGAAAUAAAUUGCCAUUUAAAGAAAUUAUACAUAGAAUGUGGUUGACAUGAGUUUUAAAUCGAGAUUUUUUUAUUGUUAUUGUUAUUAUUAUUUUUUUAGCCAUGACCAUGGCA